rnacentral:misc_RNA from 1 species
AUUUUCUUGUAUACUGAAGACCGUUUGAUUGAUGACACUGCUCCAUGUGCGGUUGAUUAAGAAAUAUGAAUGAUUCAAUUGAGAAACAGUGGAGUGAUAACAUCAAAAUAUUCAAAAAGGAUUUCAUUAAGCCAAACCCAAUUCAAAAUGACGGAUGGAAUGCUCUCUCUGUGGUGGAAUAACCACAGCACCACCUUCUGCCAUAUGCUCUCAGCACUUAGACACAAGGACAGAUACACAGACGCUACAGUGGCCUGCGAAGGCAAAUUCUACCCAGUGCACAAACUCGUCCUCUCCACCUGCAGCCAAUAUUUUGAGGAUAUGUUUGACCACACACUUGGGAAACAUCCCAUUGUUCUACUGCAGGAUGUCAAAUGUGAUGAACUAGAGGCACUUCUGAGUUACAUGUAUGUGGGUGUAGUGAGUGUUGCACAAAAGGACCUCCCUCGCUUAAUCAAGGUAGCUGAACUGCUGCAGAUUAAAGGCUUGGCUGUACCAGAUGAAGCACCGGGAGACAAGAAUACACCAUCAAGUUCCAGCGGCAGAAGUGCCAGGAGAAGCCCCCUGUCCAGAGGGUCAGUCGAUUCUCUUGACGACAGAGGGAGUCCACACCCGAAGAGAAGGAAACAAAAUGACAUUGGCUCUCCAUCUCCCAGGGAACCUUUUGAAAACCACAAUGCACACUCACCCAGGUUAUCCUUACAUUCCAAAGACAGUGAUGAAAGUUUAGAUUAUAACACAUCAGGUGACAGAUCUAGGAGAGAGGUGUAUCCAGAGCAAGCAAGAGGCAGCGAGUCUCAGACAGAAGCUCUCCAUCACAGAAGACUUGCAACCUGUAACUCAGUGCCUGAGGAGUCGAACAUGCUUUCUGGUGUCAACUUAAAUAAACAUCCAGCCUCAGGGAAUACCUCAAAGGAGACAAGUGAAGAUGCUAUAGUUAUUAAAGAAGAGGUAUGGGAAGAUCCUGAACUAAGUCACAAUAACUCUGCAGAUCCAGGUGUCACUUACAAUUCAGCCCUAGACAAUUCAGGCCCAGACAGUCAUGAUGAAGUUCAAAAAGAGGACAUGGGUAUGCCUAAGGAAUUCAAUCCUCCAGGAGAUCCAGCUCAGGGAUCUCAGGAACUGCCAGAGGUGGUCGAAGAGGCAUUGGCAGGUCCAUCAGGCAUGCAGGAGUGGCUCGGCAGCAACGACUUUGCAGCAGGCUUAGCGUCAGUCGAGAACUUCAGCAUAGAUGGAAGUCCACCUGUCUCGGAGCAUCCGCAGCCACUACAGAUAGGUGCACUGGAGGCUGGGAUUGAGGGAGGCAGAGGGGCCAGACCUCCGAGGUCCAGGAUGAGAGCCUAUAGCAGCAGCGCCAAGCAACACAAGUGUCCAUAUUGUGCCUAUUCCACUGAUAGGAAAAACCACUUGGUUGACCACAUUUGCACUCAUACCGGCGAGAGGCCCCAUUCCUGCCCCUACUGUCCUGCCAGUUUCAUACAGAGAGGAACUCUAAACAACCACAUUCGCGUCCACACUGGGGAAAAGCCCUACAAAUGUCCUGUUUGCUCUCAGGGAUUCACACAGAAAACCAAUAUGAGGAGCCAUAAAUGUGUCCAUAGGGUUUAGUGCACCUGUUGUGAUCAGAACUUCAUUUUCAUAUUUGUAAUUAGAACAAGGCAAGAGAGGAGAGUCAGAAGUGUGAUAAGGGAGCCACAGGAGCCAAGACUGGCAUCAUAUCCAGCAGCAAGUUCCACCAGUGCCCCUACUGUGCUUACGACACGCCAAGGAAAGACCACCUGGUCAUGCACAUUCGCACCC